rnacentral:tRNA from 1 species
CUAAGUAACCUAGAAAAGGUACUAAACUUUUAAUUUAGCAACGAUAUUUAUCUAUCCUUA